UAGACAUGGACGAAAAUAAAAAUAUACUAAAAAAAAUUCGCCGGGUAGAGAUGUAAAGAUAAAAAAAGGGCGAAGUGUAUAUGUAGCAGUGCACAAAGAACAUCUCGUCAUCCAUCUUUGCAAAUCGGAUAAAUUACGUCGGAGAGCUUAACGAAAAUCAGUCUGAAAGCUUAUCGAUACACAUAAAUGAAUAAUCGUUAUACAUUGGCGAAUAAAACCGAGAGUAUUAAACUUUAUAGGAACAAGGUUCCGGUCACUCACCUUCUUUACGAAGAUACGUUUACAGACCUCCUGGUCGACAACUCUUAUAGCGAACAAACCACCGGGGAAUAGAGGUGAAUGACACUUGAGUCUACAGUUGGACACAUCUUAUGCUAGGAAGAGAAGUCUGCAUUAUCAUUUCAAAGUCGACAGAUAAAAGAAAAAAGGCAUGUGUUAAUACAAAAACAACUAAAUAACCCAAGGCCACCGGGCUCAUUCUGUGGACCUACUACCCAAUCAAUAUAAGAAUGCCGGAAAUAGCGUCUCCCGGUCAGAUAUUGAUCCGAAGGAAGUCUGCUAGGAUGUCUUGCUUUAAUUGCGUAGAAUUUCUGCUUCCCAGAACUCCUCUAUAUUGGGAAAUUCUAUUGGAAGAUGAAGUAGUGCGGUCUAGGAUGAAGGAGAGCUGUCUUCCAAAUGUGUUUUCCAAAAAAGAUGCUGCAGGCCAAGCUGAUAAACAGAAAUCUUUUAUUUUUCUUCUACACUAG
rnacentral:lncRNA from 1 species